GCCGUUCAUAUUUCACUCAUGUGGAAUGUGCUCCGUCAAACUGAGCCUUGAUAAAAAAUAAACUGCAGAUAACUAAGAAACAAUUGCAGAUAAGUCUCUCUUCUCUUUCCCUCUUGCUGCCCUUUUCCCUCUCUUCCGGUUUUCCUCUCGCUUCACUCUCCUUUUCCCUCUCUUCCCCUUAUCCUUCAUUUCCCUCUCUCUUCCCUUCCCCUCUCUCUUCCCUUCCUUCUCUUCUCUUCCCCUCUCUCUCUUCCCUUCCCCUCUCUCUCUUCCCCUCUCUCUUCCUUUUACCUCUUCCCCUCUCUCUCUCUUCUCUUCACCCCUCUCUCUUCUCUUCCCCCCUCUCUCUCUCUUCCCUUCCCCUCUCUCUCGCUUCCCCUCUCUCUUCCAGUCCCUUCCCCUCUCUUCCCUUCCCUUCCUUCUCUUCCCUUCCCCUCUCUCUUCCCUUCCCCUCCUCUCUUCCCCUCUCUUCCUUUUACCUCUUCCCCUCUCUCUCUCUUCUCUUCACCCCUCUCUCUUCUCUUCCCCCCUCUCUCUCUUCCCUUCCCCUCUCUCUCGCUUCCCCUCUCUCUUCCAGUCCCUUCCCCUCUCUUCCCUUCCCUUCCUUCUCUUCCCUUCCCCUCUCUCUCUUCCCUUCCCCUCCUCUCUUCCCCUCUCUUCCUUUUACCUCUUCCCUCUCUCUCUCUUCUCUUCCCUUCCCCUCCUCUCUUCCCCUCUCUUCCUUUUACCUCUUCCCCUCUCUCUCUCUUCUCUUCACCCCUCUCUCUUCUCUUCCCCCCUCUCUAUCUUCCCUUCCCUCUCUCUCGCUUCCACUCUCUCUUCCAGUCCCUUCCCCUCUCUUCCCUUCACUUCCUUCCCUUCCCCUCUCUCUCUUCCCUUCCCCUCCUCUCUUCCCCUCUCUUCCUUUUACCUCUUCCCUCUCUCUCUCUUCUCUUCCCCCCUCUCGCUUCCCUUCCCCUCUCUCUCGCUUCCCUUCCCCUCUCUCUCUCUUCCCUUCCCCUCCCUCUCUUCCCUUCCCCUCUCUCUUCCCUUCCCCUCUCUCUUCCCUUCCCCUCCCUCUCUUCCCUUCC
rnacentral:lncRNA from 1 species